rnacentral:lncRNA from 1 species
CCGUAAAUGCUCAUUGAGUGUCCGCUGCUUCUAUAAUGAGGAAGUCCUGGGGAAAUACCUCAUAUUGUGUUCCUCCAUACUACAUAGCUAAGGCUCUGUUCAAGUUCUGGAAGCCCUUGCCAAGUCUUUCUAGUCCAUUGUGGAUCUCUUCUUGCUUCUGGUAAGACCUUUUAUUUUGAAUCAAACACUGGAUGACUAAUUUACUGCCUUAGAUUA